CAACAUGUAAAUCUGGGCAAUGAUACGGAAAAAAUGACUUUUCUCCCAUAACAACAGUAAAUAAAUGAAGUUCAUGUACGCAGUCAAGGAAUCCAAAGAAACUGCAAUCUCAAGAGUUUGACAUUAGCACUGCUUUCCAGAUUCAGAGCUCAUACCUGUAGAUUCUGAUGCAGUGGAUAUGGGUUAAUGUCUGAGACUUCGCAUUUCACUGGAUACCCCUUGUGAGGCUGAGAUGCGUGCUCCAGAAAAACAAGGCUUCUACCAUGAAAACCAGCUCUUACAACAUUGCAUGUGUUAGUCACCAACAAAGGUUUGCUGAAUAAACAAAUGAGUGAAUGGCAUUGCAUUGUAUCAG